ACUCAAAUGAAUUGACGGGGGCCCGCACAAGCAGCGGAGCGUGUGGUUUAAUUCGAUGCAACGCGCAGAACCUUACCUCGGCUUGACAUGCACGUGGUACUGAUCCGUAAGGAGAGGGACCCGCGAGGGAGCGUGCACAGAUGCUGCAUGGCUGUCGUCAGCUCGUGCCGUGAGGUGUUGGGUUAAGUCCCGCAACGAGCGCAACCCUUGUCCUUAGUUGCCUUCUCUAAGGAGACCGCCGGUCUAAACCGGAGGAAGGUGGGGAUGACGUCAAGUCAGCACGGCUCUUACGUCGAGGGCUACACACACGCUACAAUGGCCGGUACAACGGGCAGCCAAGGGGCGACCCGGAGCUAAUCCCACCAAAGCCGGUCUCAGUUCGGAUCGCAGGCUGCAACUCGCCUGCGUGAAGUCGGAGUUGCUAGUAACGGCUGGUCAGCACACAGCCGUGAAUACGUUCCCGGGCCUUGCACACACCGCCCGU
rnacentral:rRNA from 1 species